GGCUCGGUGGUCUAGGGGUAUAAUGCUCGCUUCGGGUGUAAGAUGUCCCGGGUUCAUAUCCUAGAUGAGUCC